rnacentral:rRNA from 1 species
AUUGAACGCUGGCGGCAUGCUUUACACAUGCAAGUCGGACGGCAGCACAGAGAAGCUUGCUUCUUGGGUGGCGAGUGGCGAACGGGUGAGUAAUAUAUCGGAACGUACCGAGUAAUGGGGGAUAACUAAUCGAAAGAUUAGCUAAUACCGCAUAUUCUCUGAGGAGGAAAGCAGGGGACCUUCGGGCCUUGCGUUAUUCGAGCGGCCGAUAUCUGAUUAGCUAGUUGGUGGGGUAAAGGCCUACCAAGGCGACGAUCAGUAGCGGGUCUGAGAGGAUGAUCCGACACACUGGGACUGAGACACGGCCCAGACUCCUACGGGAGGCAGCAGUGGGGAAUUUUGGACAAUGGGCGCAAGCCUGAUCCAGCCAUGCCGCGUGUCUGAAGAAGGCCUUCGGGUUGUAAAGGACUUUUGUCAGGGAAGAAAAGGCUGUUGCUAAUAUCGACAGCUGAUGACGGUACCUGAAGAAUAAGCACCGGCUAACUACGUG